rnacentral:rRNA from 1 species
CCUACGGGAGGCAGCAGUGAGGAAUAUUGGUCAAUGGACGAGAGUCUGAACCAGCCAAGUAGCGUGAAGGAUGACUGCCCUAUGGGUUGUAAACUUCUUUUAUAAAGGAAUAAAACGAGGCACGUGUGCCUUUUUGCAUGUACUUUAUGAAUAAGGAUCGGCUAACUCCGUGCCAGCAGCCGCGGUCAUACGUAGGAUCCGAGCAUUAUCCGGAGUGACUGGGUGUAAAGAGUUGCGUAGGUGGCAUAAUAAGUAGCUAGUGAAAUCUGGUGGCUCAACCAUUCAGACUAUUAGCUAAACUGUUAAGCUCGAGACCGUUAGGGGUAACUGGAAUUUCUAGUGUAGGAGUGAAAUCCGUAGAUAUUAGAAGGAACACCAAUAGCGUAGGCAGGUUGCUGGGACGGUUCUGACACUAAGGCACGAAAGCGUAGGGAGCAAACGGGAUUAGAUACCCGGGUAGUC